GUUGCUCAGACUCUCCCAAUCUACAUACAUAGAUACUAUACUGAAACGAUUCAGCAUGAAGAUUUUAAAAAAGGCUAUCUUCUGAUAGGCCAAAGAAAUUUUUUUUUGAAAGAAGAUUAUCCGACAACUCCUUAAGAGAGAGAGCGUAUGAGUAGAGUUCCAUAUGCUUCGGUAGUGGGUUCUAUUAUGUAUGCAAUGA
rnacentral:lncRNA from 1 species